rnacentral:rRNA from 1 species
AGGACGAACGCUGGCGGCGUGCUUAACACAUGCAAGUCGAGCGGAAAGGCCCUUCGGGGUACUCGAGCGGCGAACGGGUGAGUAACACGUGAGCAACCUGCCCUUAGCUCCGGGAUAGCUCCGGGAAACCGGAAUUAAUACCGGAUAUGACCUAGGCCGACAUCGGCUGUGGUGGAAAGUUUUUCGGCUGGGGAUGGACUCGCGGCCUAUCAGCUUGUUGGUGGGGUAAUUGCCUACCAAGGCGACGACGGGUAGCCGGCCUGAGAGGGCGACCGGCCACACUGGGACUGAGACACGGCCCAGACUCCUACGGGAGGCAGCAGUGGGGAAUCUUGCGCAAUGGGCGAAAGCCUGACGCAGCGACGCCGCGUGGGGGAUGAAGGCCUUCGGGUUGUAAACCCCUUUCAGCAGGGACGAAGCGAAAGUGACGGUACCUGCAGAAGAAGCGCCGGCUAACUACGCGCCAGCAGCCGC